CAGUUCCCACCUGGAAGGUCAACAGGGGCACUGAAGACUCUAAUUUCCCCAUUAUGCUUUCAAAGUCCUUGUUGGGCUCUGUGGAGACACUUCCCAGGAAUCCCCUGGCUCCUAAAAUCUCUCUCCUUCAUCAGCCUGUCUCAUUAUAGAAAUUGCAUUAUUGCUUUGUCAUUGCCACAUGUUAACAUUAAAAAAUAUUCUAAGAAAGGUCAGACAUUUUAUGUUCAUCACUCACCUCUUACAGUUAAGUUUUAUAUUUCAAAAAAUGUUAACGUGUACUCGUUUUUGAUAAACACACAUUUUAUGCAUGACUAUUUAUUAUCACAAGUAUCACGACUGAAACCAGCCAAAAUAAUUUUAAUAUUGAAUAUGCUUUUUAACAGAAAUACACUCCCCAGAAAUUCUGAUUCUUCCAUCCUAUCCUAUCCCUUACAGGUAACAUUUCGUUGUUCAGCUGGAGAUUAGAGCAGGGUGAAAGGAGCUUUGAAACCAAACAGUCCAGGACCUCUUGCCAAGCUGCAUAGAUAGCCCUAGGCGCAUCCCUACUUUCUCUGGGCCUGCUUUCUCAUCUGGGAAAAUCGAGAUAAAAAUAACUACCCUGAACAUCUGCUGUGAAACGUGAACCAUCACCAGAAGAUGCAUCAAGAACAGCACUGCACACACUGGGUGUUUCGUAUCAUUUACUACAAUUUGUAGGAGGGACUACACAAGCUUCACCCGCAGGCUAUCGCAUACCAGGAGAAACAAAAAAAGCUGAAGGAUUAAGGACCCCAAAGGAUAUGCCUUUAGCAAGCCUGCCUCAAGGACCCAUGCAACCCCAGGAGCCUCUGUUGACUCUGCCCACUGAGAGACUGGUUCCCCUGUUCCCAGGAUUACCCAGAUCUGAUGUGGGGAGGAGGUGCCUUAGUGUCUGCUCAACAGAGGAAGUGCCUGUCUGCUUGCUCGGGCCCAGGGCUUUUCGCUCCUACGGCGGCUGCACCGGGGCCUCCUUCUACCCACCUAGCCCACCCACCCACAGUUCCAUCCUCCAGAUCAUUUAUCUUGGAAUAACACAACUACACGGAAUUGCUCAUCCACCCACCCUCCUCUACUGUCCAUUACAUGUGGCUCCUGAGCACCUGACCUGUGGCUAGUCCAAACCAGGAUGGAUGUGUAAACUACACCUAUCAGUACACCAAAGAUUUAGUUCAGAAAAAAAAAGUAAAGUAUCUCAUUGACAAUUUUUGCAUUGAUUACCUAUUGAAAGAAUAAUACUUUGGAUUAGGUUAAAUAAAACAGAUUAAAAUUAAUUUCA
rnacentral:lncRNA from 1 species